GUCGCCCUAGACUAGUGGUUUAGGUGCUUUCCGUGCGCAGCUUAAAGCGGCCAGGAAGUCGGGGGUUCGAUUCCCUCCGGGGGACG